UACGUAGGGUGCGAGCGUUUAAUCGGAAUUACUGGGCGUAAAGCGUGCGCAGGCGGUUCGUUGUGUCGGUGGUGAAAGCCCCGGGCUUAACCUGGGAAUGGCCAUGGAAACUGGCGAACUGGAGUGUGGCAGAGGGGGGUGGAAUUCCACGUGUAGCAGUGAAAUGCGUAGAGAUGUGGAGGAACACCGAUGGCGAAGGCAGCCCCCUGGGCUAACACUGACGCUCAUGCACGAAAGCGUGGGGAGCAAACAGG
rnacentral:rRNA from 1 species